UCUCUGUCUCCUUUGCAACAAGUGAGUGGGGAGAAAAAAAAAAAGUAAAAAGUAAAGCUACUGUUUUAAGUUAGUUGUGUUUUUAAUUGACUUUGCAUGAGCAUAAACAGAUAGAUUAAGUUCAGAUACACGUGGACUCAAUCUUUGCUUUGUUAAAAUAGAAUAACAAGAUUAAAGUGAUUACAGUAGAUAUAAAAUAUCUGGUCUGUACCAAAGCAUGUGAGGCAAUGUCUCAUGAAAUUGUUCUUGCCACAUAAAUUAAAAUCAGCCUCUCUGUGAGCAGCUGCAUAGGCCGAUCAUUAACUGAAAUGCUGAAAACAAAGAACAGAGGGUAAUGAAUCAUGCAUAAUAUUACAUGGCAUUGCGGGAAAGCAGUUUAGUGGAAUAGCCACAUGGAUCAGUGUUAGUUAACAUCCCCAUUCACGAUCUGGCAGAGGAAUGCACACAAGCAUGAAUGAAAUUCGCAGAUCUUACUCAAGUGGGGAGUGCCAAGUCUAUCUGUGAGGACAGAGGAUUAGUGGCCCAGGGCCAAAAGAGGUAAGGCAACAGCGAUCCAAAAUGAUAAUUAGUGAAAAGGGGAGCUGGGAAUUGCCCAUGCCAAAAGAGAUGUAAGGGAGAGCAAAUUAAAUGAAGCUGCACAACGCGAAAAUGUAAACAUACAGGGGAAAAAAAAAAAAAGAAGCAACAGCACCUCUCUGGACCCAUUUCCAUAUAAAAAGUGAAGAGAAGUCUCAGAGUUUAAAUAAAUAAGGGAGACGAUGAUGUGUCUAUUCAGUUCUUAAGCAACUGUGAAUGAAAGCCUUUGCUAUUCCAAAGGCUCAGUAAAACAGUGAGGAGUGUUUUCAUAAAUAUAUAAAAAGGAAAGACAGCAUAAGAUUCAUAUUUGGGUAAUUAAAAGAAAAAGAAAGUGCUGCCUGAUGAGAAGGGUCUGAAAGUCUGUUGAUAGCCAUUGCUUAGAGUAAGCAUGGGUCUGAAUGCCACAGGUAAAAGGUCUGUGAGUGCCUGUGGAUGCUCCUGCUCCAUGACAUACAGGUGCUGGAUGUACUGCUCCUGGGAAGCUGCCAACAGACUGGGAGGAAGGCACCACUAAGAAGAGUCCAUCUCAGUCUUCUUCACUACCAGUGGUUGCGUAUUUCUAUAUAAAGAAUUCACUUAGCACGGCUUUCAUCAUUGUGAUUGCAGAUUAUUCCUAACCGCUUUCAAACCAGAAAAAGAAACAAAUCAUCAAAACACUUUGAGUGAGCAUAACAAGACCUCGAGCAGGAAAUCUUCUGCCUCUUACAAAUGCAGUACCUGAAAGAUGUUUUAAACCAGCAGAGUUUCUAAUAACAAGAAGAACCGAAAAUGCGAAAGCUGAUGUGAUUGAGAGCAAUGUUAUCAAUUCCAAACCUCCUGGCACGCUGCGGGGAUUUGAUCAGCGGGUGAAAUACAAAACCUGAAGGAAAGAAGAUUAGAGGGAAUUCUUGGGUACUAACCCAUGGUUUAAAGUCAGCUGCAAACCAGGCCUGGGCAUAUUUCCCAUUUGAGCUAACAGUGAUGGACGUGAGUCAACCUGACAACUUCCAGUCUCCUCCUGAGAGACUGAAGUCGUUGCCUUGCUCUGAUUCAUCCCCUUACAAUAAAAUUCUUGAAGUUAGACAAAAUCAUGCUGUCCCUACAAAACAAGGCCAGAAUCAGUUUUUGUCCUGCUUGUUUCAACCUCCUGCUCCAACUGACAUGAGGUGAUCAGCCAGAUUUUGUAUUCAGGGGAGAUAAAGAUACCUUUGUUCUCUUUUGGUGCCACGCUCUUGUGCAGGAGAAAAUAAACGAGAGGGUAAACUCAUUUGUUUGGUAUGCCUGGCCCACCCCAUGGAGCUGCAAACUGCCAGUUGCCCAAAUUAGAAGAGGAUAAACUUUGUUUACCUCUGUUCACCCUUGGCUACAGAUAAAUCCUCAGCAGGUGCCAGGCAUUACGGCUUCCUGAAUUGUAAUGAAACAAGAUGCAAAGCUCCUGCAAUCAGUUAUGACUCUCGAGAAUCGGCGUUUCGGAGUCCUGUUUGCUCUGAAAGAAAGAUUGUAAAUCUAUUUGCUUUGUUUCUUAAUAGGCCAGAAGCAAUAUCUGUACAUUCUUCUGCCAGAGGGAGUUGUUAUGUGGAUGUAUUUCAGUCUUGGACGUCCUGGCUGGGGCAAACACAGAAAUCUCCAUCCUACCUUGGGUGAGCCACUGAUGGCUCUGUACGAUGGAUCUCCUGCUUUGCUCUGUGCUAUGAGACCCAUGCAUAAAAAUAGCUUUAAGGAGUAAAAAUGAACGGGAGGGGAAAAAAUCAUGGUCUGUUGCAAUUGUUUCUUUCCUUUUUAGCAGGGGACAAAUACUCUGUAAGUUAUGCAGUCAAUUGGUCAUUACUCAAAUUAAGAGAAUUUGGACAGCUACAUCAGUCACUAGGGAAAACAAUAAUAACAACAACCAGAACAAAUCCCACCCAACCAAAAAAAAAGCCCUUGUUAGUCCUGUAAAGCUACAGUACAGUUCUGAACUGCAAAUCACUGAGAGAGACGGGAAGAACUCAAAACAACCAGAAUUAACCAUAAUUGAAUAAGCCCUAUUGCAUAUCAAUUUAUUUAAAAAUAAGGAACUGAAGUCAAAAACAAGGGGAUAUUUUUACCAGCUAUGUCUAGUUGGUACAAAGAAGCUGGAUCUCCAGAAGAGGAGAUGGAUUGUUUGUUUUUUCUUUGCUUUCUUUCUUUUUCAUUUUAUUUUUUUUUCUGCCACGACAGCAAUAAUAUGCUGUAUUUUAGUAUGUUAUUUCCCCAUUCUUUCCAAAUCAUGCCAUCAGCAAAUUCUUCUUUCCUUGCAUCACUUUUAGUUAGAGAGAACCAGUCCCAGCAAGCGAUUCCUCCCAUCUAUCACACACUACAUGAAAUUGCUGGCUGAGACACGAUGCCUACAGCUGAGAUGGUUCCUAGCCUGUUUUAGCUCAUAUUUGUGGCCAGGAGUUCUUAUGAUUCUGUGGUCUUGAUUAGUUUCUUAAACAGCAAUUAAACCUUCACAAUCCUCAUGUAAAAAAAAAAAAAAUAAAUAAAUACAGAAAAACUCUGAAAUGUCUGCAUAUACUGUUUGUGAUUUAUUUGUGCAACUGGCAAUUUACAGUCAAAGCUUAAGGGCUAUAAGAAUAGCUGGAUACACCAUUUGAUUAUACAUCUAUAACUCCUAACAUAAUAAGCGGAGUGUUUUUUUUUUCUUUGUUUUUUUAUACCUCCCCCUUCCCCCCUUUCCCUCCAAUUGCUAUUUUUGUCACUGUAAUGAUGGCAAGAGUUUUUUCUUUGGGUAAUUACAUCUGUAAUGCUGAAUGCUGCUUCUCAUUCACACUUCACGCUAGGCACUGGGUUUGUACUGCUACCUGCUAUUGCUGCAAAACUUUUCAGAACCAACCCA